CGAGAAGGCCUUUUCAUAGUUUAUUGUUCCAAGUUCUAACACAAGGAGAAGGAGAAGACGAAGACGAUGGGGUUGUGCAAGCUGGUGGAUGCGAUCCUUCUCCUCUUCUUCCUGGUUAUUGCAGUGGUAGCUCCGCUCAUGGACUCCCAGACUUGUCUGCCACUGCACCUGUUUCCGGAUUUCCUCGUCGACUUCAAGUCCUGGUACGCCGGUGAAUACGGAGAUUACCUGAUCGGCGAGAAGCCCAGAUUCUUCGUAGGCCUCGUCUGGCUUGAGCUUCUCCUCCAAUGGCCUCUCUCCAUUGCCAACCUUUACGCCAUUCUAGCGAGGAAGUCCUGGUUCAGCACCACUUGCUUGAUCUAUGGCGUCUCCACUUCCACUUCCAUGGUUGCGAUUUUAGGGGAACUGAUGGGUUCGGGAAAGGCAUCGGACAAGCUUCUUCUGUUGUAUUCCCCGUUCUUGGGCUUUGCUAUCCUUGCGGUUCUGCGUGGGCUUGUGCCAAGCGGGGGUAGGAGCAGGACUCCUACUUCAACGAAUGCCGCAAGAGCAACAACGGCUAGGAAAAAGAAGGCUUGAAGGAGAUUUCGGGAGAUUUCCUUUUUGUCAGGGAAUAAUGACGAAACCACAGCCGUUAUUGCACAGCUGUAAAUGCAUCACUGCAGAGAAUCUUACUGUACAUGCACUUAAAAGGGAAAAACCUCAAUGCCAUAAACCAUGCCUUGCUGUUAAAACAAGGAAUGUUUUCCAUGUGCACAUUCCGUUUCCUAUGGAAGUCAAAGGGAUUGCCUUGUUUUGUUUUAAGCAAGUUUUUCGUGGAAAUAGACUAGUUCUGAAACUAUAUCCUUUCAUGGUUGUGGUCUUUCGUGCCUGUGGUACUAAAAGCCACCGAGUUCCUUUUAUGUGUGUCUGGUGUGUGUUUCUUAUGUUUUGAACAGACCAAUGAGGCUCUGCAUAUGGUCAUUUCGAGAGAUUUCAAGAGACUUCAUUUUCGUCAAUAAUGACAAAACCACAGAUGUUAUUGCGCACAGCUGUAAAUGCAUCACCAUGGAGACCAUUCAUCCACUUGAAUGGGAAAAACCUCAUGCUUAGCUGUUAAAACAAUGAACGUUCUCCAUGUGCACAUUUCCUCUCCUAUGGAAUUUAAAGAGAUUGCCUUGUUUUGGUUUAAGCAAGUUUUGAGUGGAAAUGGUCUAGUUCUGAUGCAUAUGGACAUUUCAAGAGAUCUCCUUUUUGUCAGAGAAUAACGACGAAACCACAGCUGUAAAUGUAUCACUGCGGAGAAUCUUAAUGUUCAUGCACUUAAAAGGGAAAAACCUCAAUGCCAUAAACCAUGCCUUGCUGUUACAACAAGGAACAUUUUCCAUGUGCACGUCCGUCUCCCACGGAAGUUGAAAGGAUUGCCUUGUUUUGUUUUAAUCAAGUUUUUCGUAGAAAUGGACUAGUUCUGAAACUAUAUCCUUUCAUGCUUGUGGUCUUUCGUGCCUGUGGUGCUAAAAGCAACUGAGUUCCUUUUAUGUGUGUGUGGUGUGUGUUGUGUGUUUGUUUCUUAUGUUUUGAACAGACCAAUAGGGCUCUGCAUAUGGGCAUUUCGAGAGAAUUUGAGACUUCCUUUUCGUCAAUAAUGACAAAACCACAGCUGUUAUUGUGCACAGCUGUAAAUGCAUCACCACGGAGACCAUUCAUCCACUUAAAAGGGAAAAACCUCAAGGCCAUAAACAAUGCUUAGCUGUUAAAACAAGGAAUGUUCUCCAUGUGCACAUUCCCUCGCCUAUGGAAGUUAAAGAGAUUGCCUUGUUUUGGUUUAAGCAAGUUUUGAGUAGAAAUGGUCUAGUUCUGAAGCCAUGUCCUUUCAUGCUUGUGGUCUUUCGUUCCUGUGGUCCUAAUUCCCACAGACUUCCUUUUAUAUGAGUGUUUGUGUGUGUGUGUGUGAGAGAGUGAGUUGUCUCUUAUGUUUUGAACAGACCAAUGAGGAUGCUCUGCAAAUGGUCGUUAAUAGAGAUUUCAAGAGAUUUCCUUUUUGUCAGAGAAUGACGACACCACUGCCGUUAUUGCACAGCUGUUCAUCACCAUGGAGAAUAUUACCGUUCAUCUACUCAAAAGGAAAAAACCCCAAUGCCAUAAACCAUGCCUAGCUGUUAAAACGAGGAACGUUCUCCCCGUGUAUAAUCCCUCUCCUUCCUCUUCUCCCCUCUAGCAUUAUAAGUACCACUGUGCUGGCCUCUCCAUUCACUUCACUCUUCCUUCCUCAAACCCACUUUUGAGCUUCUUCUUCUCCUUCUGCUUGCUGCUAUGUAUCAUGGCAGAUAUUAGGGAGAACAGCUUCAAUUUCUCCCAUCUAUGUCAAUAAAUGGUCACUAUGAUCAUCUCUUUCCACUCCCUUCUUGAUGCCAUGAAUCUCUGCUCUUUGCAUUGAUUUUGGGAUAAUCUCUGGUCCCACUGCAGGAUCAUAUAGCUUGAUGAGACCUCCUUCUCGGACAUCGAUGGAAUACACAAAUUGUUGGCUGAUGGAGAAACAGGGUUGGCUAUACACCUGAAAAUUGUCCGAAGGAGUUGGUUCAUUGGGCACGUCAAAUGGGUGGUUUCUUACCUUGAAGCACAAUUUCUCUCCAAAUACAUUAUUUGGGUUUGUUGUGAACUCCAGCACCAUAAAUUUAUCGAAGAAUAGAUUGGAUUUGCCACCAUGAGAAACGUUGAAGAGCUCAAUCUUGACUUCGGGGAAGAUCCAUUUCCGACCCUCUUCUUACCAAGGUUCAUUAUGCCUGAACUUUUAUACAGCCUUGGAGGAUCUAUAAAAUGUAUGAGCUUGAACUCGUCACCUAAGAAUCUAAUUUCCUGAGCUUUCUAGGACAUCAACUCAUGCUAUAUGAACAGUUUCUGAGGGUUUCGGAGCAUUUUGGAGUUCUAGUAUAGCCACUAAAAAUUGAGUCAGAAGCUUGUUUGGCUUGAUGAUUACUUUCUGUAAGACCAGUCCAUUUCUCAACAAGAAUUUCAGGAAAUAUAUUUCGCAAUGGUUGGCAGAAAAUGCAAUCAUUUAAACCAUUUCAAGACAGUUAAGGGCAUGAUGUUUUCUCAAGCAGGUCAGGAUGCUUAAACUGUGCAGUUACAUGCACAAGGUUUUGCCUUCCAAUUACCGCUAUUUUCAUGAGCCACCAUUGCAGUUGAAAACUCUAUGCAUUUGACGUUGAAGUCUUGCGUGGAAGGUUAUGAGCUACUGGGAAUAAUAUGUUUGCUUGCAUUGGUACCUAAUCUUAGAACUCUCUCCAUUAUGUUGGGAUUCAUGAGGACAGUGCAUGAUUUUUUGUGUUUCAACUUUCUGUCGAGCUGUGAUGGGUUUUGGAGACAACCAAAAUGGCCCCUUAACUGUCUUAAGAUGGUUGAGAUGACUGCAUUUUCUGCGCACCCAUUGCGAAAUGGAUUUCUUGAAUUUCUUUGUUGAGAAAUGGAGUGGUCUUACAGAGCUUCUGACCCAAUUAUACAAGCUAUAUUAGUACUCCAAAAUGUUCCGAAAGCCUCAGAAAUUGUUCAGAUAGCGUAAGUUGUUAUAGAUGUCCCAAAAGUUCUGGAAAUUAGGUUCUCUUAGAUGGCAGAAGUUCGAGCUCAAAGACUUUGUGGGAUCCUCAUCCAAGGCUGUAGAAAAUUUCAGGCAUAGUGAACCUUGGUAUGCAAAUGGUCGUAAAUGGAUCUUCGUCGAAGAAAGCAAGAUUGAGCUCCUCAACGUUUCUCUCAGUGGCAAACCCAAUCCAGUCUUCAAUAAUGUUGGGGUUCACGACAAACCCAAAGACUGAAUUUGGAGAAAAAUGGUGCCUCAAGGUGAGAAAGCACCCAUGUGCCCAAGGAAUGAGGUGCAUAGCCAACUCUAUGCCCCCAUCAGCCAUAGCUCUCUGUAUUCCAUCGACGUCGGAUAAGGAUGUCUCAUCAAGCUGUAUGAUCCUGAGAUCAGAGAUUAUCCCAAGAUUGAUGUAGGGAGCACAAAUUCAUGGCAUCGGGAAGGGAGAUGAAAUAGAUGAUCAUAAUAACCAUUUCUAGACAAAGAUGGGUGAAGUUGAAGGUGUUCUCUCUAAUGUAUGUUAUGAUAUGUAACAGCAAUAAGGAGGGGAAGAAGAAGAAGAUAAAAGAGUGAAUGGAGAGGCUGGUACAGUGGUGUAAUUGUGUGCCAGAGGGGAAAGGAGGAAGGAGGGGGAAUAAUUUGUUAGUGUAUGUAAAAGACCGUUUGAAAUAAAAUUCUGUUAUGGUUUGUAAUUACAAAAAA